rnacentral:rRNA from 1 species
AGGAUAAACGCUGGCGGCGUGCCUAACACAUGCAAGUCGAACGUCUCUUUCUUCGGGAAGAGGAGUGGCGGACGGGUAAGGAACACGUGGGAACCUGCCCUCCAGUGAGGAAUACCGGCGAGAAAUCGCCGACAAGACCGCAUAGCCUUCUCCGGUGAGAGCCAGAGAAGGAAAGCUUCGCAAGAGGCGCUGGAGGAGGGGCCUGCGUCCGAUUAGCUAGUUGGUGGGGUAAGAGCCUACCAAGGCGUCGAUCGGUAGCUGGUCUGAGAGGACGAUCAGCCACACUGGGAUUGAGAACGGCCCAGACUCCUACGGGGGCAGCAGUGAGGAAUUUUCGUCAAUGGGGGCAACCCUGAACGAGCAACGCCGCGUGCAGGAAGAAGGUUUUCGGAUCGUAAACUGCUUUUCUCGGGGAAGAGAACGGACGGUACCCGAGGAAUCAGCCCCGGCUAACUACGUGCCAGCAGCCGC